GUGGGGAAUAUUGGACAAUGGGCGAAAGCCUGAUCCAGCCAUGCCGCGUGUGUGAAGAAGGUCUUCGGAUUGUAAAGCACUUUAAGUUGGGAGGAAGGGUAGUAACCUAAUACGUUGCUACUUUGACGUUACCGACAGAAUAAGCACCGGCUAACUUCGUGCCAGCAGCCGCGGUAAUACGAAGGGUGCAAGCGUUAAUCGGAAUUACUGGGCGUAAAGCGCGCGUAGGUGGUUUUGUAAGUUGGAGGUGAAAUCCCCGGGCUCAACCUGGGGACUGCCUCCAAAACUGCAUGACUAGAGUACGGUAGAGGGUAGUGGAAUUUCCUGUGUAGCGGUGAAAUGCGUAGAUAUAGGAAGGAACACCAGUGGCGAAGGCGACUACCUGGACUGAUACUGACACUGAGGUGCGAAAGCGUGGGGAGCAAACAGGAUUAGAUACCCCAGUAGUCC
rnacentral:rRNA from 1 species